AAGGCGGGGGGCCAACCCCCCGGCCGCUUUGGAAACUGUGAAACUGGAGUGCAGGAGAGGUAAGUGGAAUUCCUAGUGUAGCGGUGAAAUGCGUAGAUAUUAGGAGGAACACCAGUGGCGAAGGCGGCUUACUGGACUGUAACUGACGUUGAGGCUCGAAAGCGUGGGGAGCAAAC
rnacentral:rRNA from 1 species